rnacentral:rRNA from 1 species
AUUGAACGCUGGCGGCAUGCCUAAUACAUGCAAGUCGAGCGCGCGGCGGACGGGUGAGUAAUGUAUGGGGACUGCCCGAUAGAGGGGGAUCACUACUGGAACCGGUGGCUAAUACCGCAUACCAUCGGUUAUCUCAUGUGGGAUUAGCUAGUAGGUGGGGUAAAGGCUCACCUAGGCGCAGAUCCCUAGCUGGUCUGAGAGGGUGAUCAGACACACUGGAACUGAGACACGGCCCAGACUCCUACGGAGGCAGAAGUGGGGAAUAUUGCACAAUGGGCGCAAGCCGGAUGCAGCCAUGCCGCGUGUAUGAAGAAGGCCUUAGGGUUGUAAAGUACUUUCGGCGGGGAGGCGUUACCCGCAGAAGAAGCAACGGCUAACUCCGUGCCAGCAGCCGCGGUAAUAC